rnacentral:rRNA from 1 species
AAUCAACGCUGGCGGCGCGCCUAACACAUGCAAGUCGAACGAGAACGGAUUUCUCUUUUAGCAAUAAGAGCGGGGUCCUAGUAAAGUGGCGUACGGGUGAGUAACACGUGGGUAAUCUACCUUCAAGUGGGGGAGUAACCCGGGGAAACCCGUAGGGCGUAAUACCGCAUAAUAAUCCGCAAGGAUCAAAGGAGCAAUUCGCUGGAAGAUGAGCCCGCGGUCGAUUAGCUAGUU